AGUGGGGAAUCUUAGACAAUGGGCGCAAGCCUGAUCUAGCCAUGCCGCGUGAGUGAUGAAGGCCUUAGGGUCGUAAAGCUCUUUCGCCAGGGAUGAUAAUGACAGUACCUGGUAAAGAAACCCCGGCUAACUCCGUGCCAGCAGCCGCGGUAAUACGGAGGGGGUUAGCGUUGUUCGGAAUUACUGGGCGUAAAGCGCGCGUAGGCGGACCAGUCAGUCAGAGGUGAAAUCCCGGGGCUCAACCCCGGAACUGCCUUUGAUACUGCUAGUCUUGAGUUCGAGAGAGGUGAGUGGAAUUCCGAGUGUAGAGGUGAAAUUCGUAGAUAUUCGGAGGAACACCAGUGGCGAAGGCGGCUCACUGGCUCGAUACUGACGCUGAGGUGCGAAAGCGUGGGGAGCAAA
rnacentral:rRNA from 1 species